rnacentral:rRNA from 1 species
UACGUAGGGUGCAAGCGUUAAUCGGAAUUACUGGGCGUAAAGCGUGCGCAGGCGGUUCUGCAAGACCGAUGUGAAAUCCCCGGGCUCAACCUGGGAACUGCAUUUGUGACUGCAUCGCUGGAGUGCGGCAGAGGGGGAUGGAAUUCCGCGUGUAGCAGUGAAAUGCGUAGAUAUGCGGAGGAACACCGAUGGCGAAGGCAAUCCCCUGGGCCUGCACUGACGCUCAUGCACGAAAGCGUGGGGAGCAAACAGG